GAAAUGUUAUGGUUUGUGAAAAUGUUAUGUUUUAUAUUGUUACAGCACGUGAAAGAAUGCAUCGACUCACAUUGUUUCUUCUGCAACACAUAAUCUAUAUUUAUUAUCUGCAGCACAAAAGUCAUAAGCCUUCCCUGACUGAAUCAAGCAUGAUUGUUCUAGCAGUAAAAAAUUGCUUCAAUAAUUUCAAAUUGGUUUUACCCACACACAGAAUUAAUAUUUUUAGUUUUACUAGGAGAUAAAACAUUUCCCCCUUUUUAAAAAGGGCUUACUUCAGCCACAGAACUACCUAAAAUAACAGAAUAAAAAUGAUGUUUUUUAAUUUUAGUCAUCAGUUUAAAAAACACAUUUACACUGUGAUUACAAUGACACAGUUAUGCAAUUUUAUAACAUUUGUAUAUGAACCACUUAAAAAAUGAAACCAUAACCAGCCUACAAAAAAGUUUUGUUUAUUCCAAAUAUAUUAAUAAGAAUUACAGCAGCCCUAAUUUGUAAAAUACAUACCAUCUUCAGAUGAGAUCUGAUGCAGUCACCAAGAGGUUAGUGUAUGAAAGCUGAGAGUUACAAUAAUGGUUUAUUUCAUUAUGUGUGCAGCCCUGCAUUUCUUUAAUUCAAAUAUUUAAACAGCGAUUUGUUAGACGUUUGUUUUAAGGUGGGGAACAACCUUGUGUUAAACAGGUUGUGUUAAAAUUGCAUGUUCAAGACACAUUUCUUAGAACGAAGAGACUACAUGAUGCAACAUGCUCUUUUUGGUCAUUUACAUAAAGACACAUGCACAUAGCUACAGUGCAAAGAAAGCUGAAGACCAAUAAGAAAGUUUUCCUAACCAAAAACUUCAUUCAUAAGAUAAAAGACAAAAAAUAA